GGCCCCCAGGACAAUCGCAUGGCAAUCGGAUUGAACGCGCAACAUUUUCCAUACAAUCCGCAGUGUUGCGUUUUCUUCGCGCCAACUUUGCCUGUAUUUUCAAUGAGCCAAGCGAUUUUACCCCCUCCUACACGCGUUGUAUCCUUCAGUACGCUUGUCGCGGCAACGUUCACCACAUACACACACAUCUCCACACUCAGCGUACGACAUCUUCCCUGUUGCUGUUCUGGACUCAGGGCGGUGGCAACGCUUUUUCGCAUGCGAUUUUAUCGGACGGCCUGUCAAAUUUUUAUAUGGGAUUUGACAGAUAACGUCGGACGACGAAAUCGCACGUUCGACGUUAUCUGUCAAAUCCCAUAUAAAUCGCGUCCGAUAAAAUCGCAUCCGAUGAGCGUUGCCACCGCCUUCAGACAAAAUUUGUGUUUCUACACUUAUUGUUCAAAAAAGUAGUAGCUCCUAGGAUCUGACUUUACAAACAAAUAUCAAAAUAUUAUGUUCUGCUAAUGAUAUUGCACUGAAUUUAAUUGCACUACAUUAAGUUUUUACAUAUCUUUCGUAAAAGUUCGUCAGAGUAUGAAAAUGUCGAUACAAUUUGUCAUGAAUAACUUAAAUUUCAAGAUUUUCGCGCAUAAAAUUAUGACGCGCAUUGUGUGUGCGGCGGCGUAAUUCGCUACUCGUAUAGCCGACUCGCUUCUUCUUGUGUGUGCUUUACCGUUGCUAACCGCUUCAAGAACAUUGCUGCUCACACACACGUCAGUCUGUGGCAAACAAUUGGAGGGGGAGGACGUGUCGGUUUGCUCCAGAAAUCGUGUGUGAUUUUGGUGUUCUGGAUUUGGUUCCAUCCCUGUUUGUUUUGGUGAAAUUGAAAAGGUAAGACUCAUAGACCGAUGUAAAAGUGUGAGAGUAAAGUGAUGUUGAUGGUGACUGAUGCUUUUCUUUGUUUCUUUUCCUGCUUUCAUCCACUGAUGGUGUCGAGCAUCGCCGAGGAUGUGAUCGAAUGCGGAAUAUUCGAAACGAGGAGAUUCAUUCCGGAUUUUGUUUGCAAUAAGCGCUGAACUAAUCCUCCAGCUUACAACGAACGGUCAACGGAUGAGGAAAGAGAGGAGGGACGGCAAAGGUACACGCACAAACGUGCACACAUCAGCCUUGUCGGAGAACGAGAACACGGGAGGGGGAGGCCGGAAACGUAUCGAACCUCUUCAUUUACGCUUCCUCGUGCGUUCGUGCGUGCGCGCGCGCGUCUGUGUGUGUGUAUGUGUGUGCAUGCCUGCGUGCGUGGCUGUGUGUGUUUUGCGGCUUCGCGUUAACGAGAUCCUACGGGAUCACCUUGCGAAAAACACCAAGAGAGGGGGAGGGGUAGGUGUAUGUAUGUGUGUGUAUGUGUGCUUGCAUGCGUGCGUGGCUGUGUAUGUGUGUGUGUGUGUGUGUGCUUGCAUGCGUGCGUGGCUGUGUGCGUGUUUUUUGCUGUUUCGCGAUCUCCAACGGAAUCACCUUGCGAAAACACGAGGGGGGGGGGGAGGAGUGGGGUGUGUGUGUGUGCUUGCCUGCGUGCUUUGUGUGUUUUUGCGUUCACAUUCUACGGGAUCACUUUGCGAAAAUACCAAGGGGAGGAGGAGGAGGUGUGUGUGUGUGUGUGUGUGUGUGUGUGUGUGUGUGUGUGUGUGUGUGUGUGUGUGUGUGUGUGUGUGUGUGUGUGUGUGUGUGUGUGUGUGUGUGUGUGUGUAUGUGUUUUUUUUCUUUGCCGAUUCGCACUCUCUCGCGGAUCUAGUUGUGUGCGUUAGUUUUUUUUUAGUUUUCAAGAAGAAAAAAUCUUCGAAAAAUACCUGGGGGAGGAUGUGUGUAUGAAAGAAUGUACUUCAGAAAAGAAAGUGAAAAAUAAAAAACGAAUAUAACAUAUGUUAAACGAA